rnacentral:tRNA from 1 species
GGAGAGAUGGGUGAGUGGUUUAAACCGGCUCCCUGCUAAGGAGUUGUGCGGGCUUAUACCCGUACCGAGGGUUCGAAUCCCUCUCUCUCCGCCA